rnacentral:tRNA from 1 species
AAAUUGCUUGGUGACAAAUGGACAGUUGUAACCAAAGACCAUAAACUUUCAGCUCAAUAUGAACAUACUAUUUU